UGCUCCAGGAAGCAUAAGACAUUAGGGGACAGUUGGUAAGCUGGGAGUGACAUUAGGGGACAGUUGUUAAGCUGGGGGUGACAUUAGGGGACAGUUGUUAAGCUGGGGGUGACAUUAGGGGACAGUUGUUAAGCUGGGGGUGACAUUAGGGGACAGCUGUUAAGCUGGGGGUGACAUUAGGGGACAGUUGUUAAGCUGGGGGUGACAUUAGGGGACAGUUGUUAAGCUGGGGGUGACAUUAGGGGACAGUUGUUAAGCUGGGGGUGACAUUAGGGGACAGUUGUUAAGCUGGGGGUGACAUUAGGGGACAGUUGUUAAGCUGGGGGUGACAUUAGGGGACAGUUGUUAAGCUGGGGGUGACAUUAGGGGACAGUUGUUAAGCUGGGGGUGACAUUAGGGGACAGUUGUUAAGCUGGGAGUGAAGGCACACAAUGGCGGACAACCCAGCACUAGAGAGGCUGAGUCAGGAGGAUCAUGGGUCUGAGGGCAGCCUGGGCUACACACCCUUAUGUCAAAAAGAAGAAAGGGUCAGGGAUGUACCUCAGUGGGCAGAAUGACUGAGUAGCAUGCACUGUCCUGGGGUCGAUCUCCAAUAUGAGAUCGAGUUUGACAAACCUGUAAUCCCAGCAUUCCUGAGGUGACAACAGGAGGAAUUAAGCCAUCCUCAGCUAUAUAGUCAUUUGAGACUAGCCUGAGCUACAUGAGUCCCUGGAGAGAGGGAAGGAGGAAAGGAGGGAGGGGGGGGAGGGAAUUAUUAUCAUCAAACCACCAUCAUUAUUAUUAUCUUUCAUCAGUACAUAAUUUCACUUUGUGCCUAUUUGUGCUCAUCUUGAUUAUGGCUUAGCAAAUAGUCACUGCACCUCCCUCCACUAAGAAGGGAGUGGAGCCCAUUAAAGUUGGGCUGGGCUAUAUGGCUUAUUUUGGCCUGUGGAAUGUUCCUAGACUUUACGAGAGCAGUGGCCUUAAAUGGGCUUGUGCUGUUUGACUUGGCUCUCCCACCUCAGGGAGCUGCCAUGGAAAGAAUAUGCCCUAGGGGGACUCCGAUCCAAGUUGAAUGAGUACACGUAGAGCAGAUCCACAUCUAGACCCA
rnacentral:lncRNA from 1 species